CUCGUAGGUGGCCAACUAAGUCAUACGUGAAAUCCCUCAGCUUAACUGGGGAACUGCGUCUGAUACUGGAUGGCUUGAGAUUGGGAGAGGGAUGCGGAAUUCCAGGUGUAGCGGUGAAAUGCGUAGAUAUCUGGAGGAACACCGGUGGCGAAGGCGGCAUCCUGGACCAACACUGACACUGAGGAGCGAAAGCCAGGGGAGCAAACGGGAUUAGAUACCCCGGUAGUCCUGGCCCUAAACGAUGAAUGCUUGGUGUGACGGGUAUCGAUCCCUGUCGUGCCGAAGCUAACGCGAUAAGCAUUCCGCCUGGGGAGUACGGUCGCAAGGCUGAA
rnacentral:rRNA from 1 species